GGCUGCUGGAGGAGUCCCGCAGCUGCCGGGCAUUCGUCGGGCUCCGUGUCCCGGCACGCCGCGAUGGGGUUGCGGGGCUGCUGGGGGUGCUCGUCCUGCGCCUCUCAGGCUGGUGGCUGCAGGUGGUGCUUGCUGGUCUCCUUCCCCGGCAGCUGGUGCGCGCUGGCAGGCUUCCGUGUGUGGUGCUGUGCGACCAUUUUCAGAAGCUUCCUCCAGACUGAAAACAAUCUGAGUACCUGUUUACUCAGCUUCUCUUACAAGCAGAAGUCUUUCUGUACCUACCUGUAUGGACUCACCCAUGAAAGACACCCUCUGCCACACCUCUUCUCCAGACCUGAUGCGUUUGGAUGGAAGUGACAGCACCAUCAAGCAUCAGUGAGAGUGUCGGAGAAAAUGAACUUCGCUGAUUCCUGAUUAUCUCAGAUAUCCACGUGCCAACCAAAUUGGCAGCCUACUGCGGAGUUCUGUCAAGGACCUUAAUCGGAUGUUCAAAGCAGUCUGUCUUCCUUUCUGUGGAGAUUACUAGACGUGUUGCAAACUGCUGAGCCGCUGGGAGGGCUGCAGUGCAUAAAACAGGCCAGGCUCAGCACUGUCAGCUCAAACUGCAGAUACAGCGAUGGAAACUCGACACUGAAGAGAUGGUUGUGAGAAGUGGGGGCCCCAUUCACAAUCAAAGGAGGGGCACAGGUAGGAAAGACUCAUGUUCAGGAAGAAGAUAAACCCUGCAAGCAAGCCCAGACCUGUUCAUUAACAUCUAAGAGUGCUUUCAAUCCACACUGAAGAUCACCAGGAGGUCCUCUGGCUAAUAAAGGCAAAACAGUAAAGCAGUACCUCCUGCAUUGACUUUUUCAGAGAAUUUAAAAACAAACAAACAAACACAGCCAAAGAAGAGGAAAAAAAAAAAAAACACUAAUGCAUCUCAGGGAUGUCUCCCUCAAAUUCAAAACAGAAGUACAAAUAACAUGAAGUAACAGCAGAGUUUAAGUUAAACUUCACAAAUGUAUCUCCAGAAGUAUUCAGUUAUUCAUUCUGGUUUUCAUUUGUCACUUCUAGUUUCUCCCUUUUAAAACAGAUUUGAAUUAACUUUUUACAGUGGUACUGUAAACAGUGCUGAUGAUACUAAAAGCCAAUUAUUCGUUCAUUAACAAAAGAGACAAAAGGUAACACAGUGACCUGUGUUGAUGCUACCCUACAAUACGUCCCUUCUUCCUAUAAUCUUUUAAAAACAGUUGUCUCCUCUUCAUCAAUCCAUUCAGUGGAGUCCAACAACUGACUAUGUAACUCAGAGAGCAGAAAGAUUUAGAACAUUAAUCUUGAGACCCUCUGGAUGAUUAUCACUAAAUGAAAAAUUACCCCAGGAAAUUAAUGUGUUACUGCAUUUUUUAAUCCCAGUUUCUAUUUCAUACAACUCUGAAGAUUACUUUAAGCUACAGUCUGAAU